UAGCUCAGUUGGUAGAGCAUAACCUUGCCAAGGUUGGGGUCGCGAGUUCGAGUCUC
rnacentral:tRNA from 1 species